rnacentral:rRNA from 1 species
GUGCCAGCAGCCGCGGUAAAACGUAGGACACGAGCGUUAUCCGGAGUUACUGGGCGUAAAGGGCGGGCAGGCGGCAGCGGAAGUCUGGUGUGAAAGCGCCCUGGCUCAACCGGGCGAGGACACUGGAGACUCCACUGCUAGAGGCAGGUAGAGGGGUGUAGAAUUCCGGGUGUAGUGGUGAAAUGCGUAGAGAUCCGGAGGAAUACCAGAAGCGAAGGCGGCACCCUGGGCCUGACCUGACGCUGAGCCGCGACAGCAUGGGGAGCGAACGGGAUUAGAAACCCUCGUAGUCC